rnacentral:rRNA from 2 species
CUGAGAGGAUGACCAGCCACACUGGAACUGAGACACGGUCCAGACUCCUACGGGAGGCAGCAGUGGGGAAUAUUGCACAAUGGGCGCAAGCCUGAUGCAGCCAUGCCGCGUGUAUGAAGAAGGCCUUCGGGUUGUAAAGUACUUUCAGCGGGGAGGAAGGGAGUAAAGUUAAUACCUUUGCUCAUUGACGUUACCCGCAGAAGAAGCACCGGCUAACUCCGUGCCAGCAGCCGCGGUAAUACGGAGGGUGCAAGCGUUAAUCGGAAUUACUGGGCGUAAAGCGCACGCAGGCGGUUUGUUAAGUCAGAUGUGAAAUCCCCGGGCUCAACCUGGGAACUGCAUCUGAUACUGGCAAGCUUGAGUC